CCUACGGGUGGCUGCAGUGGGGAAUCUUGCGCAAUGGAGGAAACUCUGACGCAGCCACGCCGCGUGAGUGAAGAAGGCCUUCGGGUUGUAAAGCUCUGUCGGGAGGGACGAACAUCCCUGACGUUAAUAGCGUCAGGGACUGACGGUACCUCCAAAGGAAGCACCGGCUAACUUCGUGCCAGCAGCCGCGGUAAUACGAGGGGUGCAAGCGUUGCUCGGAAUUAUUGGGCGUAAAGGGUAGGUAGGUGGUCUCAUUUGUCUGGGGUGAAAGCCUU
rnacentral:rRNA from 1 species